AUUACUUAUUAAAAAGUUUUAAAAAAAAACCAACUAAGACGUAAUGUUACGAAUUGAGACUUUUUGUUUUUUCGUGACAAAGUAACGAAUUGAGACGAAGCUAUUUUACAAUAAAAAUAAAAUAAAAGAUAGUAUUUAGCAAUACGGCAAUGAUGAACAAACAUUUACUGCAUUUUCAAGUUUAUUUACUUAAUAGUUGAAUAAAAAGUAGAGAAUGUAACCUUGUUACCAAUUGUAACCGAUUGAGACGUAACGUAACUUUAAAAUGUUAUAGGGGUUAUAUUAUCUUAUAUAUUUCUUAUUAACUGGUUAUUCGUACAUACGCAGCAUUCACGCCGCUUUAGUGUUCGAUAUACCCAAGAUGAAAGAGAAAUUGGCUCUUCGGCGUAAAAUUCCAAAUUGAAGAGAUGUUAAAGGCACCUGUAAUAGAUGCUGUUUGUUAUAGCAUGCGCCGGUGGAUCCACAAAUGCUUUGCGUAAUCAUAUUUUGUGUCAUGGAUUUACGAUCAAUAACCCUUCGACUGAAGGAUCAGGCAGCAGCUCAAAUCCACCACCCGGAAAAAAAAAUUAAAACCAUCGAAAGUUAAUUACAAAAAACGAACCUUUGAGAAUUUGUAGCUGAUCCAGCUGCAGACCGUGUUUUGAUUAAAACAAUAACUAACAACAAGUUUAUUCGCUCAACGAUUCAACAAAGAGGAAAUCAUUUUCUUAAAUCUCUAACAUCUAUGACGAAUUUAAUCCAUCAAGAUUCUUAUGAUAAAAACUCUCUCAGUGGGCGCAAGAACGUUUUGCGAACGUUUUUUAAUGGUCCCGUUAAAACGUUUUUUAAUGGUUUUUUAAACGUCCAUAUGAAACGGUGACCGGACGUUUUUUAAAAGCGUUUUGUGAACGUUUUUUAAGGUUUCGACAAAAAGCGUUUUUUAUUAAUUUUUUGAACGUCCAUAUGAAGCGGUGAACGGAGGUUAUUCUGAAAACGUUAUUUAAUGGUUUUAAUUACGUCUAAAUUAAACGUUUUGUCGUUUUUAACAUUUUUCUAACAACUUUUUUUUUAAGCAUAAAGGAGGGGAGGCAUAAUUUUGUGACUAUUUGUGACAAGGGGAAAGGGGGUUUAAUGAAUGUGACGUCACAAACAUUAAUUUAGCAUGACAGUUUAAUUUCUACUUGUUCAAUCAAUCAAUUAAAGAAGUGUUUCAGAUUGUCAAAAA